UCAUUUUUAUUUAACCAUUUUUGGUUCAAAAAUAACCAUUUUAUGGCUUUGGCCCAAAAACUGGCAAUAUGGUUAUUUUUUAAGAAUUUUUCCUUCAUGACUUUUAACCAUUUUUGUAGAUCUCGCGCGUUAACCAGAAAAUGUUUGAAUAAUUUGGUGUUUUUAUCGUAGCCAUUUUGAAUACAAUCGAUGUGCAGACGAACGCGUUUAAGAAAAUUCCAUUAAACCGCGUAAUUGAAUCGAGUUCUCAAUUAAAUUGGUCCAUGUAAUCCGGAAAACAUCAAAUCUGAUGGUAUGAUAAAGGGACACGGAUUAGAAGACCCCACUUGAAAUUUUUAUAAAAACGUAAAAACACAAAUAUUAUCAUAAAGUCAAUGCUACCGGUUCAUAGUAAUCAGCCACAACAAACGAAAGCUGAAAAAGCACAAGCGGUCCUCGCACAAUCUGCCGAUUUUUUAUAAUUUCGGUGCGAAAUGCGAGAUACUACAACGACCGUUUUUUUCACCAUCCGGAAGGAGCUGGAGCCGGCUCUACUACUUGAAAAACAUCACCCGCCGGUAGUAAAUAAAUUAUUCAACCCCCCGUAAACGAACAGCCCUGGUGUUGUGGCACUGAUAUGUUGGCCAUUUGCUGAAGCUACGGAUCUACAAAAUGGCACCCAGGCAUAUGGGAUCAACACUUCCGGAGUUAUUCGGCACCGACGUUAGGUUAUAACUAUAUAGUUUUCUCAUUUAAACUCGGUGGAGGUCGUGGGGGAAAAAUCACUUUUGCUGCUUUAAAAGUUAUCGGGUGUUCCGGCUGCUGUUGGUGUUCGCCUAGCGCUAGCCACUAAAUUAAACACUAUGAUGAAUUGAAAAUAAGAACAGAAAUACAGAUAAAAUAUUUGAAAAACGUGUUUUUGCUUAAUUUUGUCGAUAAUUUUUUAAUAUAGUUCAAUAUAGCUAUUGCCGUUACUUGCUAGUUACGGUUCUAUAAUAACCAUUUUUUACUUCUCCGCUCUUUCCGAUUACGUUUGAAAAAUAACCAUAUUUCUACUUGUCCCCGAAAAGUCAUUUUAUGAGUUCUCAUGGAGAACUCAUAAAAUGGCAUUUCCCGGGAAAAGGUCAAAAAUGGUUAUUUUUGAA